UGUGUAUGAUGACAUUUUUUUAUGCGGAAUCCGAUUUAAACUGCGGAUAACAACCUUGGAGAGCUGAACACUCG
rnacentral:snoRNA from 1 species